UGGGGAAUAUUGGGCAAUGGGGGAAACCCUGACCCAGCAACGCCGCGUGAAGGAAGAAGGCUUUCGGGUUGUAAACUUCUUUUACCAGGGACGAAGAAAGUGACGGUACCUGGAGAAAAAGCUCCGGCUAACUACGUGCCAGCAGCCGCGGUAAUACGUAGGGAGCGAGCGUUGUCCGGAUUUACUGGGUGUAAAGGGCGUGUAGGCGGAGCUGCAAGUCAGAAGUGAAAUCUCCGGGCUCAACCCGGAAACUGCUUUUGAAACUGUAGCCCUUGAGUAUCGGAGAGGCAGGCGGAAUUCCGUGUGUAGCGGUGAAAUGCGUAGAUAUACGGAGGAACACCAGUGGCGAAGGCGGCCUGCUGGACGACAACUGACGCUGAGGCGCGAAAGCGUGGGGAGCAAACAGGAUUAGAUACC
rnacentral:rRNA from 1 species